AUUUAAAUAAUUUAAAAAAAAAUAUUGAUUUGUGGUGUCAAAAAUAUGAAAAUUCAUUUUAAAUU
rnacentral:tRNA from 1 species